AGCGAACGCUGGCGGCAGGCCUAACACAUGCAAGUCGAACGAAGUCUUCGGACUUAGUGGCGGACGGGUGAGUAACACGUGGGAACGUGCCUUUAGGUUCGGAAUAACUCAGGGAAACUUGUGCUAAUACCGAAUGUGCCCUUCGGGGGAAAGAUUUAUCGCCUUUAGAGCGGCCCGCGUCUGAUUAGCUAGUUGGUGAGGUAAAGGCUCACCAAGGCGACGAUCAGUAGCUGGUCUGAGAGGAUGAUCAGCCACAUUGGGACUGAGACACGGCCCAAACUCCUACGGGAGGCAGCAGUGGGGAAUCUUGCGCAAUGGGCGAAAGCCUGACGCAGCCAUGCCGCGUGAAUGAUGAAGGUCUUAGGAUUGUAAAGUUCUUUCACCGGGGACGAUAAUGACGGUACCCGGAGAAGAAGCCCCGGCUAACUUCGUGCCAGCAGCCGCAGUAA
rnacentral:rRNA from 1 species